AGUUUGAUCCUGGCUCAGGAUGAACGCUAGCUACAGGCUUAACACAUGCAAGUCGAGGGGCAGCAUGGUCUUAGCUUGCUAAGGCCGAUGGCGACCGGCGCACGGGUGAGUAACGCGUAUCCAACCUGCCUUACACUCUUGGACAGCCUUCUGAAAGGGAGAUUAAUACAAGAUGUUAUCAUGAGUAAGCAUUUUCGCAUGAUUAAAGGUUUACCGGUGUAAGAUGGGGAUGCGUUCCAUUAGAUAGUAGGCGGGGUAACGGCCCACCUAGUCUUCGAUGGAUAGGGGUUCUGAGAGGAAGGUCCCCCACAUUGGAACUGAGACACGGUCCAAACUCCUACGGGAGGCAGCAGUGAGGAAUAUUGGUCAAUGGACGAGAGUCUGAACCAGCCAAGUAGCGUGAAGGAUGAAGGUUCUAUGGAUUGUAAACUUCUUUUAUACGGGAAUAAACGGAUCCACGUGUGGAUUUUUGCAUGUACCGUAUGAAUAAGGAUCGGCUAACUCCGUGCCAGCAGCCGCGGUAAUACGGAGGAUCCGAGCGUUAUCCGGAUUUAUUGGGUUUAAAGGGAGCGUAGAUGGGUUGUUAAGUCAGUUGUGAAAGUUUGCGGCUCAACCGUAAAAUUGCAAUUGAUACUGGCAGUCUUGAGUACAGUUGAGGUAGGCGGAAUUCGUGGUGUAGCGGUGAAAUGCUUAGAUAUCACGAAGAACUCCGAUUGCGAAGGCAGCUUACUAACCUGUAACUGACAUUGAUGCUCGAAAGUGUGGGUAUCAAACAGGAUUAGAUACCCUGGUAGUCCACACGGUAAACGAUGAAUACUCGCUGUAGGCGAUAUACGGUCUGCGGCCAAGCGAAAGCAUUAAGUAUUCCACCUGGGGAGUACGCCGGCAACGGUGAAACUCAAAGGAAUUGACGGGGGCCCGCACAAGCGGAGGAACAUGUGGUUUAAUUCGAUGAUACGCGAGGAACCUUACCCGGGCUUAAAUUGCAACCGAAUAUGGCGGAAACGCUAUAGCUAGCAAUAGCGGUUGUGAAGGUGCUGCAUGGUUGUCGUCAGCUCGUGCCGUGAGGUGUCGGCUUAAGUGCCAUAACGAGCGCAACCCUUGCCGAUAGUUACUAACAGGUUAUGCUGAGGACUCUGUCGGGACUGCCAUCGUAAGAUGUGAGGAAGGUGG
rnacentral:rRNA from 1 species